rnacentral:rRNA from 1 species
UAAUACAGAGGGUGCGAGCGUUAAUCGGAGUUACUGGGCGUAAAGGGCGCGUAGGCGGUACGAUGUGUGUGAUGUGAAAGCCCCGGGCUUAACCUGGGAAGUGCAUCGCAAACUGUCGAACUAGAGUAGAUGAGAGGGUGAUGGAAUUUCCGGUGUAGCGGUGAAAUGCGUAGAGAUCGGAAGGAACGUCAAUGGCGAAGGCAGUCACCUGGCAUCAUACUGACGCUGAGGCGCGAAAGCGUGGGGAGCGAACAGGAUUAGAUACCCUGGUAGUCCACGCUGUAAACGAUGACAACUAAAUGUUGGUUGGGGAACCAAUCGGUAUUGAAGCUAACGCGAUAAGUUGUCCGCCUGGGAAGUACGGCCGCAAGGUUG